AAUAGAUACCCAGGUAGUCCACGCCGUAAACAAUGAGUGCUAAGUGUUAGAGGGUUUCCGCCCUUUAGUGCUGCAGCUAACGCAUUAAGCACUCCGCCUGGGGAGUACGGCCGCAAGGCUGAAACUCAAAGGAAUUGACGGGGGCCCGCACAAGCGGUGGAGCAUGUGGUUUAAUUCGAAGCAACGCGAAGAACCUUACCAGGUCUUGACAUCCUCUGCCAACCCUAGAGAUAGGGUGUUCCCCUUCGGGGGGACAGAGUGACAGGUGGUGCAUGGUUGUCGUCAGCUCGUGUCGUGAGAUGUUGGGUUAAGUCCCGCAACGAGCGCAACCCUUGAUCUUAGUUGCCAGCAUUUAGUUGGGCACUCUAAGGUGACUGCCGGUGACAAACCGGAGGAAGGUGGGGAUGACGUCAAAUCAUCAUGCCCCUUAUGACCUGGGCUACACACGUGCUACAAUGGAUGGUACAAAGAGCUGCGAACCCGCGAGGGUAAGCCAAUCUCAUAAAGCCAUUCUCAGUUCGGA
rnacentral:rRNA from 1 species